rnacentral:sRNA from 1 species
UCGCUCUUCAACGAGGAAUCCCUAGUAAGCGUGAGUCAUCAGCUCACGUUGAUUACGUCCCUGCCCUUUGUACACACCGCCCGUCGCUACUACCGAUUGAAUGGCUUAGUGAGACUCUCGGAUUGGUUUUAAUGAACCGGCAACGGUUCCUUCUUGCUGAGAAGUUUGUCAAACUUGGUCAUUUAGAGGAAGUAAAAGUCGUAACAAGGUUUCCGUAGGUGAACCUGCGGAAGGAUCAUUAGAAUUUCUUAAUUUAUUCAAAAAUUUCCAACCUUUUAUAAAUUUUAUAAAAAAAAAAGAAAUAAUAAGACAACUUUCAACAACGGAUCUCUUGGCUCUUGCAUCGAUGAAGAACGCAGCGAAAUGCGAUAAGUAAUGUGAAUUGCAGAAUUCCGUGAAUCAUCAAAUCUUUGAACGCAAAUUGCACUCUUUGGUAUUCCGAAGAGUAUGCUUGCUUGAGGGUUGUCCUAUUAAAUUCGUUUUAUUAAUACGGAUCUGAGUUUUCCAAAGUUUUUAAAAUUUUGGUAACUUUAAAUUUAUUUUAAUGAUAUUAUUAUAAUAUUAGAAAUAUUUUAUCUUGCAUGUUCGUGUAAGUUUUUAUUGAUAAUUAUUAUAAUUAAUCAUAUCAUAUUAUUUGCCUAAUUUUUUUUUUUUAAUUGGGUUAAGUAAUAUAAUUUUUUCUUCAACCUCAAGUCAAGUAAGAUUACCCGCUGAACUUAAGCAUAUCAAUAGGCGGAGGAAAAGAAACUAACAAGGAUUCCCUUAGUAACGGCGAGUGAAGUGGGAAGAGCUCAAAUUUUAAAUCACUAAGGUUUCACUUUAGUGAGUUGUAAUUUGAAGAAAGUGUUUUGAUAUUCGGGUUUAAUCUAAAUCCUUUGGGAUAAGGUAUCAUAGAGGGUGAGAAUCCCGUUCAUGAUUAAACCUUGGGUGUCACAUAAUUUACUUUCUAAGAGUCGAGUUGUUUGGGAUUGCAGCUCAAAAUGGGUGGUAAAUUUCACCUAAGGCUAAAUAUAUGCAAGAGACCGAUAGCGAACAAGUACCGUGAGGGAAAGAUGAAAAGAACUUUGAAAAGAGAGUUAAAUAGUACGUGAAAUUGUUGAAAGGGAAACGAUUAAAGUCAGUCAUGCUAGUAGGGAAUCAACCUGAUGGAUCGUAAGACUUAUCUUGUGAUCUUUCUUGUGUAUUUCCUUGCUUGGCAGGUUAGCAUCAAUUUCGUUCAUCAUUAAAAAAUCUCGGGAAUGUAGCUUUUCUUCGGGAAAGUAUUAUAGACCUUGAUAUAUGUGGUGAUCGAGAUUGAGGAUUGCAGCGGAUACCUUUUAAGGCUAGUCACCUGGCUUCUGACGGUUACCUCGCUUUCGAUAGCUCGCUAAUGAUUGUGGGAUUCGACAGUCUAGAACGUUAGAGUGAUCAUAAAUUCGCUAAGGAUGCUGACGUAAUGGCUUUAAACGACCCGUCUUGAAACACGGACCAAGGAGUCUAACAUGUAUGCGAGUGUU